UACGUAGGGUGCAAGCGUUGUCCGGAAUUAUUGGGCGUAAAGAGCUCGUAGGCGGUCCGUCACGUCGGAUGUGAAAUUCCAGGGCUCAACCCUGGACCUGCAUUCGAUACGGGCGGACUAGAGUUCGGUAGGGGAGACUGGAAUUCCUGGUGUAGCGGUGAAAUGCGCAGAUAUCAGGAGGAACACCGGUGGCGAAGGCGGGUCUCUGGGCCGAUACUGACGCUGAGGAGCGAAAGCGUGGGGAGCGGACAGG
rnacentral:rRNA from 1 species